rnacentral:tRNA from 1 species
GUUUUAAUAGUUUAAUAAAAACAUUGGUUUUGUAAACCAAAUUUAAAUAAAUAUAUUUAAAACA